CAGACCCUCACCCAGGGGAUACUUUUGCAGCAUGUGACACGCAACCUCGCUAUCAGGGACCUGCUGGCUAACUCAGUGGUGAAAUUGACUGAGAUGUUGGAAGGCAAAGCAGAUGAGAAAUCUGACAGCAACAUUAUCUUGGAAGCAUUCAACAUUUACUGCAAGCUGCUAUUACUUCUACAUGCACAGGACAAGCGUACGCUGAGUUGCCUGUCAGAGUAUGGCAAGCUGCUGUCCU